AUAAAUAUAGAAAUUACCCUCGCGACUCAUAUUUGAAUGAUUUAGGCCAUUUCAGAAUAAAUAUUUUUUAUGUCGUGUCUCCACGGUGCAAUCGUCUUGUGGAAGUUCAUGAUGUGAUUGGGAGUUACCUUGAUAAUAUUUGCUGAUUUCGGAGGCAGGUGUUUAGAGUGACGCGAUUCUGAGCGACGUCAGAACUGUCGGUCAUUGAUGCUGGUAUAAAAUCCGUCCAGACUCCAGUCCGACUUUACCUGAUCAGAAGGAGCGACGUGUGCAACGCAGUAACUGGGUUUUAAAGGUGGAUUAGCUGUGCUUUAGCCAAAACAAGAAGAAAAAAAAAAAAUGAAUAAAUUUGCAGCUGCUUGCUUCGGAGUGAUGGUGCUCGCCAUUUGUUUACGGACCCAGGUGGACUCUCAGAAUACUACAGCUGCCACCCCAGCGGCCAACCAGACCACCGCCAGCACGAGUGUCAAUGUAACCACAAUGGCCACCAACACCUUUAGCAGCGCAGCGAACGUCACCACUCCAAGCAGGGCAGACCCCGCCCUACAGCCUGCCAUCUUUUUCAUCCUCAUUGCCAUGGCAACCUCCCUCCUCCAGUGCUGCUGAGUCCUCCCCAAUGUUGCGCCUCCCAUCCUGCACUGAAGAGACUGUAAUCAAGACUACCCUCCAGCAGCCAAGAUGGAAACCAUGUAAUGCAAAGAGCAUGUUAUUCCUCAUGAGGUGCUGUAGGUUGUCUUGAAUGGGUAAAGGGGUCCUUUUUCUACCAGGGUUGCAAACUGAAGCUCCUUUGCAGAGGAUGUUUGUGUCCAUGCUAAUCCAUCUGAAUUUCUCUUCUCCCAUGUGCCCUUCCCUCAACAAGGCUGUUUCCAUAGGCAAUGCCAACUCGAAUCCUCCAUUCAGCAUAUACUAGAAUUCAAGAGACUGGGGAUAUAAAACUGCUUUGUUCUGUAAUAUUACAAUUAAGGGCAACUGCUGUACAGAGUAUGUAUGAUUGGUGUAACAGGAAGUUCAAAAUUUUUAGCUACCUAGAUUUCGCUGUACAAGCAAAGGUUAAUUUUUAAUAACUCAACCCCAGACUAAAAGAUUUACUGUGGUAUGGUUUCUAAUUUUUCCUCCAUUUUCAUGGAAUGUUUGACUUAGAAUUUUGUAAUGUUUGUUAACUUUCUUUUACUGCAUGUCUGUUGCAAAUUGGAUACUGGAUUUAUUCAAUAUUUUAUGGUCCUUUAGGGGUUGCACCUAGCAUUGUGCUGUUGGCAUACCUGGAACAAUUCAAACCAUACUACAGUGAAGUGGUUUGUAAUUUCAAUUUUGCCCAUAGUUUUUGUAUAAAUUGUUUAAUAAAUGUGUGUUAGUUGAAAUGAGAUCAGGGAGUAAAUCUCAAUGUACAAUAAACAAUGGAAACUA